rnacentral:rRNA from 1 species
UACGUAGGGAGCUAGCGUUGUCCGGAAUCAUUGGGCGUAAAGCGCGUGUAGGCGGCCCGGUAAGUCCGCUGUGAAAGUCGGGGGCUCAACCCUCGGAUGCCGGUGGAUACUGUCGGGCUUGAGUACGGAAGAGGCGAGUGGAAUUCCUGGUGUAGCGGUGAAAUGCGCAGAUAUCAGGAGGAACACCAAUUGCGAAGGCAGCUCGCUGGGACGUAACUGACGCUGAGACGCGAAAGCGUGGGGAGCAAACAGG